AAUGAAAAGCCAACAUCGCCUCAUAUAUCAUUGGGAAUAAGGCCCGAAAGUUUCUACCCGAUUACCGUAAAUGAUCGGACUAUGAGGAAGGUAUAUUUCAUC
rnacentral:ncRNA from 1 species